UCACUUAAAAUAUGAGAGGAUUGACGAGAAGGUGGCUCCUCCGGAGAAGCUGCUCGAGUUGUUUGCCAAGCUAACCGAAUCAAUGGACGAAAUGCUUUUGUCCGAAGUCUAGAGGAUUCCUUGGAUAUCCAUCUAUCUAUCUAUCUAUCUAUGUUUGUGGGUGUUUUGUAAGAUAUCUCAAAUUUUCAAUAAUGUGCUCUCUCUAUGAAGAGAUCUGAACUGCAAGUAUUGCAGAGUUUGUGUUACGUAUGUUUGAAGUUUUUAAUUAGUUGCAAAUUAUAACAAUUGUGUUGCUGCUAUAUGUUUCGCCUAUGCAUGUUAUGUUUUAAGAAAAGUAAAAGCGUUCGUCUACUUUUUUUUUU
rnacentral:sRNA from 1 species